GUAGUUGGGGGCGGUCAAAGAUCUCAUAAUCAGGAAAAUGGUUUUCAAAAAAAUGAAGUUUUAUCUAUUGCACUCCAGAUGUGCCGAAUGCUUUGAUUUCCCCAAAUUUGGGAAACUCCAACGCACAAUUUGUGGUAACGGGGGACUGAGUUUGUACUUUCCCCUG
ensembl:snRNA U1 U1 spliceosomal RNA